rnacentral:misc_RNA from 1 species
AAGAAAGAAAAGAGGAUCAUAGUAACAGAUGCAAAUUUUGUGCAUGGCCAUCUGUUUCUCAGAGGUGUAAUUUUGGUUAGUGACCUAAAAUUUUUCUUUGCUGAGUAGUGAGUACACAACUGUAUGCCCGUUAUCAUCUGUUCUAAUCAAUACACUUCAGCAAAUUAAUCCCACUGGUUUGAAUUUAUCAAUUUCUAUUGGAAAGCUGAUAUUCUUCU